AUUGAACGCUGGCGGCAGGCCUAACACAUGCAAGUCGAACGGAGUGGCGGCCGGGUGAGUAAUGUCUGGGAAACUGCCCGAUGGAGGGGGAUAACUACUGGAAACGGUAGCUAAUACCGCAUACUAUCAGAUGAGCCUAGGUCGGAUUCGCUAGUUGGUGGGGUAAAGGCCUACCAAGGCGACGAUCCGUCACUGGUCUGAGAGGAUGAUCAGUCACACGGUAACUGAGACACGGUCCAGAAUCCUACGGGAGGCAGCAGUGGGGAAUAUUGGACAAUGGGCGAAAUCCUGAUCCAGCCAUGCCGCGUGUGUGAAGAAGGUCUUCGGAUUGUAAAGCACUUUAAGUUGGGAGGCGUUACUCGCAGAAGAAGCACCGGCUAACUCCGUGCCAGCAGCCGCGGUAAUAC
rnacentral:rRNA from 1 species